GUCUAUCUGAAGAGUCCCAAAUUGGGCGAAACUCGCGUCCUGGAU
rnacentral:hammerhead_ribozyme from 1 species